rnacentral:lncRNA from 1 species
GGGAUACUGACAUCUGCAGCAGCAGAGAAUUAUGGGCCACAUCCUUCUACAGUCACAAAUGGUGCACCAUGGAUUUUGACAGUUGGAGCUAGCAGCAUUGAUAGAAAGCUUCUGGCGAAGUUAGAGCUCGGCAAUGGACAAACAUUCAUGGUAAUUACUUCAACUUAUAUUUCAUGGUUGGUACUUCUCUUCCUCAAUAAAAGAUUAUGUCUGAGAGUCACGCUAUGUUUAAUGUUUAUGACAUUCUGAACCAGGGAGAUUCAAUCAAUUUCUUCCCGACUCAAAGAUCUUUCUACCCAAUUCAGCUAGGAGAAGAUGACAAUAAAAAAAAUUCUGAUUAACAAUUCGACUAAAAGAAAGAAUGUGGUUUUUAAAUCAGUCAAAUCGGCACUGCUUGCAAUUAAAGUUGGUGCCCAAGGAGUAAUCUGGGAUGCAGAUGAAGUAUUUGUAUCACAAUCAUGCUAACUUCCUUUACCCGGUGCCUGUCUCAAUACAAAUGCAAUUGACAAAGUGAAGAAAUAUGUGAUUAAAACCAAGUAAGAACCCUUAAUUUGUGUACAUAAAGCAUGUCUUGGAUAUAUUAUGUAAUUUUUCCCCAGAAACAAAUUAAAGAGAGUUCUUGGUGUAUGCUUGAUAUGAACAGAGAUCCCCUUGGAAAAAUAUAUAAAAGCAUAAGCGUUCAUGAUCCAACAGCUCCAUUAGUAGCCUCCUUCUCUGGCAGAGGACCAGCUGAAGUUACUCCAGACAUUCUUAAGGUAAUAUACAGUUUAUAUAUGCUUAAAAUUAGGACAGAUUUCAUCCGCAUCAAGAGUAUAUUUUGUUUUUGCAGCCUGACAUUACUGCUCCUGGAGUUGAUAUCUUGGCAGCAUAUUCACUGAAAGCACAUCCAACACCUUUCCCAAAUGACAAACGCCAUUCACCAUUCAAUUUCGUCUCUGGAACUUCCAUGGCAUGUCCUCAUGCAACAGGAGUUGCUCUUUAUGUUAAGACCUUUCAUCCUUCAUGGUCUCCUUCUGCCAUUAAAUCUGCUUUAAUGACAACAGGUGCUACCCUUGUUUAACCAAGAACAAUUAUAUACAGAUAUAUAUACAUAUAUAAUUUUUAUGUAUUUCGAUGAGUUAAUUAAUUUUUCUUUCCCAGCAUCUCCCAUUAAUUCCAAAGAAAACCCAGAUGCUGAAUUUUCGUACGGAUCCGGCCACAUAAAUCCAUUGAAAGCACUUAAUCCAGGCCUGGUUUAUAACACAACAGAGAUGGACUAUGUAAACUUCUUGUGCAAUGAACUCCCUCCCAUACUGGUGAAGCUCAUUUCUGGAGAUGAUGUUGUCAACUGCUCAAACAGUAUCAAUGCUUAUGAGCUGAACUACCCUACAAUGUCUGCAAAUGUAGAACCAACGAAGCCUUUCACUGUGAAAUUUCCAAGGACGGUGACAAAUGUAGGACGGCAUAAUUCAGUUUACAAAGCGAUGUCCAGUCACCUUCUCGUGUCAGCGUCAGUGUUAAUCCGAAUGUCUUGGCAUUCAAUCCCUGGAGCAGGAAUUGAAAUUCCAAGUGAAAGUUUCUGGUGGGAAACUUGAAGCUGGUGAAAAAAUCUCUGCCUCACUUGUGUGGUCAGAUGGAAAGCACAGUGUUAGAAGUCCUAUAUUUAUAUAUGCUUAAUAUUUUUCAACCAGUUCUAUUAUCAUUAUGGAUGAUUAAGAAAUUGAAGUAAGAUCAUUCAUGUGGUCAGAGAAAUGCAGACUGUGAGGAGUCGUAUAAUGUUGUUUGUGAAGGUGAUAUGUGCCUAAUGUUUUUCAAGCACUUGUAUGGGUGAUUGAGAAAUUUGAUGUAAAAAAAGCUUAAUAGGUAACAUCCACUAUUAGAUGAUAAUAAGUAGAAAUAAAAUCUUGUUCCUCUUCAUUAUUGAAUCAAUUAUUGUUCUCAUAGAAUGUAAAACAAAAAAACAUAAGAACAAAAGUCUCGUUCUAAUAAUACAAUGUGGAAUUUUCCAACUUUUGUCUGAUAUUCCUCGAAUGAGUACAUAUGUAUGUUUGUAUGUAUGUAUGUUUGUAUGUAUGAUCGUUUUCAAUGAACUUUUUUAAAUGAGGGAAUUAUUGAGUGAUGUUGUAAGAUUAUCAUAUGAGAGUAAAACAAAAUCAUUGAUCUAUUUGAUGAAUAAUAUAUCACUAGAAAUUAUUUUAUAAAUUUAAAUAGCAUUUUAUUCGUAUGUCAAUAAUUAAAUUUAAAUUUAAUGGGUUGAAUAUAAAUUAAAAAAAAAAUACUAGUUCUAAAUCUUCUUUUGAAAUUGAGUAUAGGACUUUAGCUAUUGUCACUUUUGAAUUACAAUGACUGAAGUAUUUACUUGAUGGUUUAUAUAUUCUUUUCAUUUAUAUUGUGAUAAUUUGUUUCUCGUUAUAAUUGCAGAAAAUUAUAUCUUUCAUAAACGGAAUAAACAUAAAAAUUGAUUAUCAUUUUAUUUAGAGAAAAGCUUUAUGAAAGUCUCAUUCAUUCAUUACUAGUUCCCUCUCAACAUCAGUUAGUAAAUUAUUUUAUUUAAGAUUUAGUUACUUCACUGUUUCUGAAUGCUAUGUUCAAGCUGAGUAUACAAAAAUUGUAUACUUCACAUUGAGGAGGGUUAUUAGAAUAGUUAACAAGUUCUGUUAAGGUUAUAAUAUAUUCUUUAAGAAUCAGUUGGGUUAUUAAGACGAAACCUCUUAGAAUUUGAGUAAAUAAAAGACUAUCUCAAGCUUCCGCUAUUUCUAUUCUUGUUUUUUCUUAUCUUUUGUAUUGUUUUAUUAUAUGGUUAUAAUUACUUUAAUAUGUUGAGUAUUAUUUAUAAAUAGUUUAACGUUUGAGUUUGAUUUGUAAAUAUUAAAAGUUUUUUUUCUCUUUCUAUUAGAUACCGACACCCCUCAUUAAUAAAAUAUCUCAAAGUUUUAUUUUUUAAUUUUCAAUUAUCAAUUCUCUCUCACUCUCUCUCUCUCUCUCUCUUAGUUCUAGAGAGUUUUUAUCGCUCUUUGUAAAUUUGUCCAAAUCAUCCUGAGUUUUUUAUCUUGUUUUGCUUGCAUUUAAUUCAUUUUGCCAAUUCAUGAAAUUCAACACACCAUUCGCAAUUCUCUUCUUUGCUGUUUAUUUUCUUCCUUGUGCAAGCAGUUCUCAAUAUUAAAUUAAUGAGCUAAAUCAAAUGCUAUCAUGAGUAGAGACAUUGUCCAAUCUGAAAUUACCUCAAUAAUACAAAAAAUAUCAAGUAGUGUAAAAAAAUUCAUAUUUUUUGAGUAAAAAUUUAUAUGUAUAUCAACAAAUAAUAUAUAAAUACAAAUAAUAAUAUAACAAAGAUGACCUUCAAACAAAAAUAACUAAUCUCAUAUUGAUUGCAGCUAGACCAACCAACGAAGAGAACCAAAAGUUGGUCCGUCAGCAUGUACGUGAUUUAUGCUUAACAUUUGCAUUUUGGUAAAAUAUUCACAUGCAUGUAUGCACAUAUAUGAUACCGUAAUAAAAUAUGGAGUUCACUCUUUCGCUGCUUGAUUCCAGACCUAUUAUGAUGGCAUACCUUGUCAGGAUGAAACAUUUCAUUUUUUUUGCUAUUACUCGAACUGAAACCUGUAAUAUGUUCUUACUUCUUCGUCCGUUUUUAACAAAAUAAUGACUACAGAUAAUACAUACAUGAAUUGAAGAUGUGAAAAAUACUGUGGCUGUUUUGCCUAGCAGGAGUUUUAAGCUUCAGACUAGUAGAUCAUGACAUUUUUUCUGGGUUCUUCAACACUGUAAAAUGAUUUGUCAGACGGGAGAAUAAUCUAAUUUUUGGGAUCUUGGACACCAGAAUCUGGCCGGGAUUAAAAGAGUAUUUGAGACGAAGGACUGGUCCCAUAAUCUAGUUGUCUGAAGCUGAAAUCUUCUGCUUGGAAAAACAGCCACAACAUUCUUCACACCUGCAAUAUUUCAUAUGUAUUAUAUACAGGCAAAAAAUGUCAAUAAUCAUAUGUGCUCUAUAAAAGCUAAGAAAGAAUAAGAGUAAAAAAAAAUAGGCUUUGUCACACGUUUGGAAAUGUGUUGUUAUUUACAAUUAAGCCAAUUAAUUUUAUGUUUUUUUUUUUUUUUCUUUUAAUUUUUGAGUUGGGUAUCAACGCUUGUUAUUGUUUACCUAUUUUAAUAAAAUGAAUUGGAAUAACAAUUGAAGGGCUGCUUGUGUUUCUUAAGCACCUUUUAUUGAACUAUUGCACCCUACUCCAUAAUCUUAACAAAAGUUCAUAUUUAAAGUUGAAACAAAUUAUUUUAGAUUUUGUAUAAAAAAAAAAAAAAUUUAAUUAAUUUAGAAAGUGAUGGGACGUGAAGAUAAUCUCAAUCCAGAAACCCUAACAAGGUUUGGUUUUGUACAAGAGAAAUAAUAUGGCUACAAAUGAAACUUUUAUAAAUAUCAGAAACAAAUAUCUUCAGUGUCUGGACUAAAUACUUCAAAACCUGGUCCAACAAGCAUCUUUGGUACUUUGUCAGGGAAAGCACCCAAAAAUGUUUCGUCUCCGUUCUAAGUUCCACAUCCAAUCAUCAUCCACCCAUGAUCCAGAAGAAGAUAUAACACCCACAAGCCAAAUAACAUAUAGAUUAUAUACACACACACACACACACACACAAGUAAAAGUAAAUUAACUCAUUACUAUGACAAUAAAUUUAUAAUGAUCAAAUUGAACUUCGUGUGGCCUUAAAAUACAAAAGAGAUUUUACUACGUGGUAGUAAAGUGGGUGAUAUCAUUCAUCUUAUAUAGUGGAACAUGCGCCUUAAAACCGGGUGGUAUCAAUCAUUUGGUAGGUAAGAUGGAAUUAAAAGUUUUGGGACAGACGAACAAUAUAAUAGUGGUGGAGUUUGGAGUUGGGGCCGAGCAAAAUGGUUGCCGGCUCAGUUCAGUCAUUGUCUGAUGGAGGUGAACUUUUAGAGUUGCUGGGGUUUGGGAGGUCAUUAGUCUUCUUCCAACCUCCUACCUAGUUUUCCCAGUGCGGUAUAAAAAAUUGAAUCGUUGGUUUUCAACAAAAUUGGUUAAACCAGAUUACUUUAAUUUUUACUAAAAUUUGAUUAAAUUUUGUUUCUAAAUUUGUGGGAUACGAAUAGACUGAUUUAAUAUAUUUUGAAUAAUGAUAUAAUAUAAUAUAUUAUAUACUACUAUAUAUCACAAAAUAUAUACUACAUACAAUACAAUAUGUAAAAAUAUGUGCUGUAUAUAAUAUAAUAUAAUAUAUUAAAAUCUAAAAUUAAGAAAACAAAAAUUUAAGUUAAUUUUCAAUUAUUUGAUUAUUAAUCAAACCGAUCAAGAUUAUUUGAUCAGUUUAAUUAAAUCAAUUUAAUUGAUAUAACCAUCCUAUAUCUAAUCACUAUGCAGCAUUAUAAAUCCUUAGCACAUGAAUGAAUGAAGUCUAUCAUUUACUGUUCGGUAUUAUAUUUUUAUACACUAUAGUAAUAUUUAAAUAUGUGAAGUUAGAUAGAAAAUAAUAUAAAUAUAUAUACAGCUCAAAAGUACACCAACUAAAUAUUAAUCAUAAUUUUAAAAAAUAAAAAUAAUUAAUUUAUUUAAUUUAAGUCAUGAAAAUUAUAAUAAUAAGCCUUAAGGGAAAAACUAAGAUCUUUUAAGUCGUAAUAAAAUAAAAAUUAGAUUUUGAUGUCAUUUUUAUAUUAAUCAUGUAAGAGAAAUCACCUUUGGUAUUUAAAAAAUUAUUAAAAGAUUAAUAACGUAUUAAUAUAAUUUGGUAAUUUCCUUAAAGUUUUAUAGCCACAUAUAGUGGUGAAAAGCUAUCUAAAUUUGCUUAGCCUGAAAAACCCAUAUAUAUACUAUAUGUACAAUUUUUUAUUUUUAUUUUUAUUUUUUACCAAUAGAUUUAUAUAAAAAAAAUCCCAUAUAUUUGGUGUGUGUACAGUUUUUUUUUUUUUUAAAUUUCUUUUAACCAAGAAAUCUUGAAAAAAAAAUUAGAUUCAGAGAUAAUAAACAUAAUUAUAUUUAUUAUUUAUUAUUUUCUCAAUUAUGCUCUCACCUCAAUUUGAAUUCGCAGAUAGAAAAAAUGGGAACGAAUUAAAUUCAAACAAGUUGAAUUGAAAAGGUUGAAAUAUAAAAUAUAUUAAUUUACUGCAUUAAAAAAUCUAAAAAAAUAUUUAAUUAUCAUAUAAAAAUAAAUUCUGAAAAAAAAGUAGCCUUAUAUAGUGGGCAAAAAACGUUAACAUUACGAACGUGAUCGUCCCCAUUGCCAUCUCAAUAAUUUUCUAUUUGUUUAUGUACAUAUACAUAUACAUAUAUAUAUGAACUUUGUGAAGCGUUUUGUGAAGAUAUGAGUCAAUGAGGUAAUAAGCUGGCGUAAGUGUACGGAAUCAGGACAAGCAAAGGAGGCUGCCCAUAAAUGGAGCUCACCAGGAACAGUAUUUCAGCAAACAUCUCAAACUCAACAAUGGCAUGCAGAUGUUUACUUCUGCCGCUCGCAUUCUUCUUCUUCUUCUUCUUCGUCUUUCCAGCAGACGCAGAAAGUCCUCGACAGGUUGUCUGAGAAUUCUCAUUACACAUAUAUGUACAAUAUUACAUACAAUAUGUAAAGACAGGUUGGUUAAUUAUAUGUACGUGUCACAGGUCUAUAUUGUCUAUACAGAUGGUGGGUCUGCUGGUAAGUAUGCAACCAGCUCCGCUCAUUUGGAAAUUCUUGAGCAAGUUCUUGAGGACAGGUAUUACGUAAAAACGAUUAAUUAAUGGCGAUUUACUUUGUUAAUUGCUAAUUUGAAGAAACAAUUUUGGCAAAUUUCAUGGGUUUGAAUAAAAUUGUCGCAGUAAUGAGGCUUCGGAAUCUCAUAUUUAUAGCUACAACGAGAUAUUCACUGGAUUUGCAGCUAGACUAACCAAUGCAGAGAAACAGAAGCUGGCCAGUAAGCAUAUAUAUAUAUAUAUAUCAUAUAUAAUUUAAGUUUAACAAUUGGAAUUUGAUAAUAUAAGUCGAGCAUAUGUAUCAAUGAUCACAUAAUAAGCUCUGGAGUUACAGCUACGCUCUUUUUCUUUUGCUAUCAUUGGAACAGAAAUCUUCACUCUGUUUUUCCUCUGUUUUUACAGAGUACUGACAUUCUUCCCACUACAAAAUAUAAAUAUACAUAUAUGAAUUGCAGGUGCGCAGAAUGUUGUGGCUGUUUUGCCAAGCAGAAAAUUUCAACUUCAGACUACUAGAUCAUGGGAUUUUCUGGGGUUGUCCACCACUGUAAAACGGAUUUCCCAGGUUGAAAGUAAUCUGAUUGUUGGAGUUUUAGACACCGGAAUCUGGCCAGGAUUAGAGAGUUUCCGAGAUGAUGGAUUAGGUCCUCCUCCAAAAAAAUGGAAGGGGGUCUGCCACAACAUAACCUGCAACAAGUAAUUCUUACAAACGCAAAUUAUCCAUUUCUCAAGCAUGACUUAAUUAUCAUAUUACUGCAACUAAAGUAAAAUUAAUACAGAAAGAGAGAACUUAAAGAAAUUUUACGAUAAUGGGCGAUCAGAAACCUAUUUUUGGACUGUAAAUUCUCUGAAUAUGAGCUACGAAUCGAGAGUUUCUUGUUGACGAAAAUUGCAGCAAAAUAAUAGGAGGAAGGUCGUACUACACCGGAGACCAACCUCUUGCUGAGGAAAGAUCUGUGAUUGAUACUGAUGGACAUGGGACACAUACAGCCUCAACUGUUGCAGGCAUGGAGGUGGGGAAUGCAGGUUUUUUUGGAUUGGCAAAAGGAACUGCCAGAGGUGGAGUUCCUUCGGCCAGGAUAGCAGCCUACAAGGUUUGCUGGAAGACAAUUGCAGGAGCCACAUGUGAAGAACAAGAUCUUCUGGCGGCUUUCGAGGAUGCUAUCAAGGAUGGAGUUGACAUGUUAUCAGUUUCCAUAGGUUCAAAUGAGACUAAAGAAUACCCUAUUGAUGGCCUUGCAGUAGGAUCUUUUCGAGCAAUGAAGAAGGGGAUACUGACAUCUGCAGCAGCAGGGAAUUAUGGGCCACAUCCUUCUAC